UACGUAGGGGGCAAGCGUUAUCAGGAUUUACUGGGUGUAAAGGGAGCGCAGACGGAACUGCAAGUCUGAUGUGAAAGCCCGGGGCUCAACCGCGGGACUGCAUCGGAUACUGUAGAUCUGGAGUGCCGGAGGGGCAAGCGGAAUUCCUGGUGUAGCGGUGAAAUGCGUAGAUAUCAGGAGGAACACCGGCGGCGAAGGCGGCUUGCUGGACGGAAACUGACGUUGAGGCUCGAAAGCGUGGGGAGCAAACAGGAUUAGAUACCCCUGUA
rnacentral:rRNA from 1 species